rnacentral:lncRNA from 1 species
UAAAUAUCUACAUCUUAAGAUCUUGCCUGGCUGGCAAAGCCACCUGUCUUUGUGCUCUUGUUAAAUAGUUCACACAAGAGCUUCCAUUGGUGGCUGCUUUGUGACAGAAGGAAAUGAAUUGGUGUGUUCCUCUGAAAUCCCUCUGGGCUGGUGCAGAUGCUGUAGGCUGACUGGUAGCUCCAGCACACAGGGUAAGGGUUCAUUAUUUGUAAUACAUGUAAACAACCCUCUCAGUGCUCUGAGGCAGCUCCACGGUGUAAUUGCUAGAUCACUUGCAUCCUCCUUUUUCUGCUUCAUCUGUAAUUUAAAUUAUUAUAUAGAAGGAUUUGUC